rnacentral:rRNA from 1 species
GGCUGUCGCUGACCUCUGUCAUGAGGUCGUGCACGCCCGAGGCGUCCUCGCACAAUCCAUCCCACACACCCCUUUGUGCAUCACCGCGUGAGCUCCUUUGGGUCGCUCCGAUCCGAGCGGGGCUUGCGCUUUUUACACAAACGUGCAGUGUAGAAUGUCCUAGCGAUUGUAUGCAAUCAAUACAACUUUCAACAACGGAUCUCUUGGCUCUCGCAUCGAUGAAGAACGCAGCGAAAUGCGAUACGUAAUGUGAAUUGCAGAAUUCAGUGAAUCAUCGAAUCUUUGAACGCACCUUGCGCCCCUUGGCAUUCCGAGGGGCACACCCGUUUGAGUGUCGUGAAUUUCUCAACCUUCUUGCUUUUCUUGAUAGCAGAAGGCUUGGACUUUGGAGGUUCUUGCUGGCCUCUCUCUCUCUUCAGAAGCCAGCUCCUCUUAAAUGGAUUAGCAGGGUCUGCCUUUGGGCCGAUCCUCGACGUGAUAAGCUGUUUCUACGUCUUGGAUUUGGCCCUGCCUCUCUUUUGAGAGACCUGCUUCUAAAAUCGUCUCGGUCGCCCUUUCUUCAUCGGAAAGAGGGGGUGGACUUUUGACCCACGAACCCAUUGACCUCAAAUCGGGUGAGACUACCCGCUGAACUUAAGCAUAUCAAUAAGCGGAGGA